AACGAACGCCGGCGGCAGGCUUAACACAUGCAAGUCGAACGAGAUCUUCGGAUCUAGUGGCAGACGGGUGAGGAACACGUGGGAACAUCCCUAUCAGUUCGGAAUAACGUUGGGAAACUAACGCUAAUACCCGAUACGUCCUUCGGGAGAAAGAUUUAUCGCUGAAAGAUUGGCCCGCGUCUGAUUAGCUAGUUGGUGAGGUAACGGCUCACCAAGGCUACGAUCAGUAGCUGAUCUGAGAGGAUGAUCAGCCACAUUGGGACUGAGACACGGCCCAAACUCCUACGGGAGGCAGCAGUGGGGAAUAUUGGACAAUGGGCGCAAGCCUGAUCCAGCCAUGCCGCGUGAGUGAUGACGGCCUUCGGGUUGUAAAGCUCUUUUGUCCGGGAAGAUAAUGACUGUACCGGAAGAAUAAGCCCCGGCAAACUUCGUGCCAGCCGCCGCAGUAA
rnacentral:rRNA from 1 species